CCAGCGGGAGAAAAGCAAUGGUGGGGCGUCUCCUGUGUCCUUAUAUAGCCCACUGUGACAAUAGAGCUGCGACGCCCUUUCCUAUCAGCUGCAAUUCCUCCUGGAAGUUGUGGUAGCAGACCAUACUGGAGUAUAUAGUAGCAGAUGAUACUGGGAGGUAUAGUAGCGAACAAAUAGUCCAACAUUUGAAUCAUAGAUAUCACACGCCUUUUAGAGAAGUGAGACCAUCUAAUAUACAGGUUAGACAUGGAGUAUCACCAGAAUGUUUGUGAAAAUGAAACCUUUUCAGCUAAUCUUUCAUGGGAGGACAUGGUUGACCUCAACAUCCAUGUCGACUAUGACGCCAUUAUGUGUGUUGGGUCAUCCAUUUUGGUUGGGUAGACGACUGUGCUGUUCACAUCGGCAUGCGUCGCAGCGACGGACGGCCUUGAAGAUGAUGUCAUUAGGGCUUUUUUCCAAGGAAACAAACUUUUAAUCACUAUUUCUAGUCGUAGUGAAGCAAUACGCUCUGGGGCAAUCUCUGGAGAAUAGAAGCUCGCGGGCAGGUUUACUUUUCCUCCUCACUGGCCAUUCCCGCAAGAGCUUGAAAGCUGGAAAUCUGUCUGAUACAAAAAGAUCAAAAGAUUCAUAUCCGGUUGAAGACCGUUAGACGCGACACAGGCGUGACUCCGUGCUUUCCAGUCGUCUGCAACGGUUAGUCAUAUUUUCCCCGUUUUGGAUGGAGGAAAAGUUAGCUGUUUUUGAGUUGAUCACGGAGGCGUGACACUCUGGUCCCCCUUGUAUGUUUUUCAGACCUAGGACUCAUCCUCAAGCCAGUGAAGAGAAGAAAUCCACGUCAAAGUAAUUUCGUUCUUUUUUUAUACUAAAUCAGAUAGGUGUAUUUAGAGGUCUGGGCAGGGUGAGGCAUAGUUAAGGUGAGUUAGGAUCACUAUUAGUUAAUCCAAGGUAUUAACUUGUUGCAUGCAAUAUUUAUUGAAGUGUUUUCUGCUGAACUGUUUUAAUUUACUGUCUGAAUACUGUAGAAGCGCAAUGAGCGCUCAAGUUUGGAUGCGUUGUCCUGCUGAUUGCCAAUCAGCCAGGAGUUAAAGCUGAACUGUGGAAGUUUUUCAUUCGAAACAGACUGCAGUCUGGACCUCGUGGCCUGGCCACUCCAUUGUUCAUUCCAUCAUUUUAUUACCCUUGAAGUUUUUCCACUGAGCUCCCCUUUGUUCGAGAUUUUGAGGCAGCUAGAUGCUCUGCGUCCGGGGCGUGGCCCUACCAUUCUACCAGCUGAUAGCUGCUGUCUAGAGACACACACAGAGAAAGGCUUCACUGUCUAGUGGUUUUGUUGUUUCCAAGUUCAUUUAAAUUGUUGUGUUAUUCUCAUUUAUCCAUAAACUCCUGGUUUGAUCUCCAUCUACCCUCAGCACACAUCCUGAUUUUUUAUUAUUAGUGAACCCCUUUUGUAGAAUAGUGCAUGUUUAAUUAGGUGAACGUUGCUGGACCAGAAUAGUUUGAUUGUAAGAGGGACUAUUGGUUUAAUACAUUAGAUAAAGAGACAGUAUUUGUGUUUGUUUUGUGUAAGAGUGAUUAUCUGUCAAGAUAAGGUUAGUGUUCCACCAGUCGGUGAGACGGUUGAUAACACAGUGAUAUUUGGCGUGGUUUUGGAUAAUAAUUAUCAAUUAUUAAUGAUAAUAAUUAACUGUAAUUAUUAAGUACUGUGAGCCCAAUAAUCACAUCACCAUAGCAUAUCUCUGAUCUUUAUUCAUAAGAAAUUAUUUUUGGUUAGAAUUUAUUUCUUCUAAAUUAUGAUUUUUAAUUAUAAUUUUUGAUAAAUAUGUAUAAUCAAUAAUCAUAACCCUUACAGGAGUAUAAAACUGAACGAUGUGAUUCCUUUGGUACUUAUUGUAGCCCUCAGUGAGGUAUAUAGUGUUUUUAUCCAUCUGACGAACGACUCUAAAUCCACAUUUUUUUAAUGCUUUGGGCAAAAAUGUUCAGUUCACUUUGUCAAAGGUUUUCAUUGCAUCCGAUGGGAUGCCUGAUGGGUACAUCAGGUCUUUAUUUGGUUUCAGAAGUACUGUAAUGCCAGCUGUGUUUAUCUGUGGUAGUAUUGUAGAAUUUGAUUUGACUUAAUUUGUUACAAGAAGAGUGGUGAUAAUAUGGGCCAGAAGUUAUUUUAGAAAUCCAUCAGGUCCAGGUGAUUUGUUGUUGGACAUUUUAAGAAGUGCUUUAUGAAGUUCAUCUGGUCUAAGUGGAAGGUCUAACAUAUUAGCUUUUUCAGUAGCUAAAUGAGGAAGCUGGAUUUCUUUCAGGGAUACAUUUAUUUCAUUUUGGUUUGGAUUAUGAUAAGGUGUAUAUCACUGUAUGUAGAAGGAAUUGAAAACAUUGUUGAUGUCUUGGGGAUUUUAAGCUGUUUCUUCUGUUGAAUUUAGAAUAGCUGGAAUAGUGGAUUUGGCUUUUUACACUGAGAUGAUUUGCCAGGAAUUGACCCACUUUAUAAUUAUAUUGGAAGUUGUCAUAUUUAUCUUGCUGAAUGAUAAACUGUGGUUUUUAUGGAUAACCAUUUCCAGUUCAUGUUGUGUAACUUAGUUCCUUCUUCACAGUUAUAUCAGGAAUAAAAUGUUUAGAAGUUGUACCAAAUCAUUGAAUUCCCACUGAAAUAUUUGGGUUAAUAUCACACUAAGGAAGAGGAAGUUAUCAUUGUUUGCAUAAGAGUUUAUGUUCUUUGCAACAUUAAAAUGCAGUUUUUCAGAUAUGUGAAAUCUCUUACUCCUUAAUUCAUAGAGCUGUUGAAUAACAGAUGCAACUUCCUCAAAUCAGUCAGAUCUGCCUUGAAAAUGGACAUUAUGUGUAAGCUUCAGAAAGAGAACUUAUUGUUCGUAACUUUAAACUUUGUACAAACCUUAGAGGAUGGUUUCUGUACAAAUACCUCUGAUUUGUUUUGGUAUUAAGCUCUUUGAGUGAUGCGUGUGUUCUUUCACUCCACCACCAAGAGGAGACACAUCACAAACUGUUAUUUGUCCUUCAGUCUUUAUGACUUCAGAUAUACUGUGAAAACAAGGAUACUGAAAAUACUUAAAACCGAUAUAAUAUAAAACAUUCUUUUAAAACUGUGAUGAAGAUGAUGGACAAUGCAUAACUUUCUGCUCAGAAUCUGUGGAGAUAUGUCCUUCAGUUAUGUGUAACACAUGAAUAAAAACAUUAGUAGAAAUUUGUUGAAACAUUAGGAGUUAAAAUACAGAAAGAAAGGAGAAAUAAUUACCUACAUCAACACUGAGACUGAUUAACUCAUACCAACAUAUGAAACCAAAACAUGUUCUACAUUUUGAAUUUGUGAAGAUGAAAUCUUCUGGUUAAAGGUCUAAAAGGACAUGACUUAGACCCUCCUCAGCCAGGUGUUGAUCCUCAUUGGUUACAGCUAUGGAUUCUGUAAUAUUACCUCAUGUGGUGACUUCCUCAUUCACAAAGCAUGAAGGAUGGAGACUUCCUUAAACAACAAAUCUAUCUGAUUUGAUUGAUCCACUGCUGAUCAUCUUAAAUCAACAAGUAUCUGGUGUUGAGUAGUUUCUGCUUUAGCUGCAGAUUAUUUUGGGUGCGACAGACAAGUUCAGCUGACCCAUCAGAGCAAUCAUCUGAGGAGCUUCAAAAGUUGCUGAGACCUUGGAGGAGGCAUUGGAGGAACUACAAGCCACUCGAUGGAGAGUUGAUCGAACGCCUGACUCCUUAGAACCCCACAGUGUCAGAGAUUAUUUACUUUUGGAAGUGGCAGUAAAAGGCAUAAACUGAUAUGUGAAUGGUUCAGAAUGGAUACACAGGAGGACAAUAUGGACUUUGAUGAAUGUACGCCAGUAAAUAGAGGGAGAGGACGCCGAAGAGGUAAAGCAGAAGAAGGGAAAAUGUUAGACAGCCAAA